AGAGUUUGAUCCUGGCUCAGAUUGAACGCUGGCGGCAUGCCUUACACAUGCAAGUCGAACGGCAGCACGGGUGCUUGCACCUGGUGGCGAGUGGCGAACGGGUGAGUAAUAUAUCGGAACGUACCCUAGAGUGGGGGAUAACGUAGCGAAAGUUACGCUAAUACCGCAUACGAUCUACGGAUGAAAGUGGGGGAUCGCAAGACCUCAUGCUCAUGGAGCGGCCGAUAUCUGAUUAGCUAGUUGGUGAGGUAAAAGCUCACCGAGGCUUCGAUCAGUAGCUGGCCUGAGAGGACGACCAGCCACACUGGAACUGAGACACGGUCCAGACUCCUACGGGAGGCAGCAGUGGGGAAUUUUGGACAAUGGGCGCAAGCCUGAUCCAGCAAUGCCGCGUGAGUGAAGAAGGCCUUCGGGUUGUAAAGCUCUUUUGUCAGGGAAGAAACGGUUCUGGAUAUACCUGGGGCUAAUGACGGUACCUGAAGAAUAAGCACCGGCUAACUGCGUGCCAGCAGCCGCGGUAAUACGUAGGGUGCAAGCGUUAAUCGGAAUUACUGGGCGUAAAGCGUGCGCAGGCGGUUGUGCAAGACAGAUGUGAAAUCCCCGGGCUCAACCUGGGAAUUGCAUUUGUGACUGCACGGCUAGAGUGUGUCAGAGGGGGGUAGAAUUCCACGUGUAGCAGUGAAAUGCGUAGAGAUGUGGAGGAAUACCGAUGGCGAAGGCAGCCCCCUGGGAUAACACUGACGCUCAUGCACGAAAGCGUGGGGAGCAAACAGGAUUAGAUACCCUGGUAGUCCACGCCCUAAACGAUGUCUACUAGUUGUCGGGUCUUAGUUGACUUGGUAACGCAGCUAACGCGUGAAGUAGACCGCCUGGGGAGUACGGUCGCAAGAUUAAAACUCAAAGGAAUUGACGGGGACCCGCACAAGCGGUGGAUGAUGUGGAUUAAUUCGAUGCAACGCGAAAAACCUUACCUACCCUUGACAUGUCUGGAAUCCCUGAGAGAUUAGGGAGUGCUCGAAAGAGAAUCAGAACACAGGUGCUGCAUGGCUGUCGUCAGCUCGUGUCGUGAGAUGUUGGGUUAAGUCCCGCAACGAGCGCAACCCUUGUCAUUAGUUGCUACGAAAGGGCACUCUAAUGAGACUGCCGGUGACAAACCGGAGGAAGGUGGGGAUGACGUCAAGUCCUCAUGGCCCUUAUGGGUAGGGCUUCACACGUCAUACAAUGGUACAUACAGAGGGCCGCCAACCCGCGAGGGGGAGCUAAUCCCAGAAAGUGUAUCGUAGUCCGGAUUGGAGUCUGCAACUCGACUCCAUGAAGUUGGAAUCGCUAGUAAUCGCGGAUCAGAAUGUCGCGGUGAAUACGUUCCCGGGUCUUGUACACACCGCCCGUCACACCAUGGGAGCGGGUUUCACCAGAAGUGGGUAGCCUAACCGCAAGGAGGGCGCUCACCACGGUGGGAUACGUGACUGGGGUGAAGUCGUAACAAGGUA
rnacentral:rRNA from 1 species